GCGGACGCCCGAGGAGGCUGGGGCAGCGGGACGGGAGUCAGAACAGACCUGCGAGCCCAAGGUCCUCGUCUCGGUCCGCACAGGGGCCCCCGCCUCGCCCCUCCGACUUCAGCUGUGCCCCUUCCCCUGGCUCCUCAGCCGGAACAGAAGUCCUCGACUCAAGGUCCCAUCGCUGUCCUCCAGCACCACCCGCUGGGCUUCAAGCUUCCCCUGCUGGACAACCAGGGACUCAGGCCGCAGUGCAGAGCUGCUGUGUCCUGGGAGGACAGCGUCACAGGAAGGAUCGCAGGAAAUGGGUGGCGACCACUGUGCCUGUUCAGCCCCUGACCUGGCCUUGCAGAGAUCGUGGGCCCCGUAGACAGGCGGUGUCACGAGUACAGCAGACUACUGAGGCCAGUGGCAGCCAGGCCACAGCACUCGGCGCCAUCCGAGAUGCCGAGGACAUGUUGGAAGAUGCUUCUCCACACAGAGUCCCCUCUGCUCACUUGAGGAGUUGACAGGUGAAUGACUCCUCAGCUCCAGAGCACUCGCUCUUCUUCAGGGACAACUCAGAAAAAAGCAGUCCCGUUAGAACCCACCUUACAGCAUGGAGUGCCAGGAGGCCUUUGUGUGGACAGUUGUUGACAUUUCCAGUGGAAUCCAGGACCACAGCUCAGAUCUCAAACAACACAACACGCAAAAACCAUGACAAACAAGAUGAAGUCUUUCUACGAUAACUUAGAGGACACAGAGGUAUCACCUCCACUGUCAUCCCACCACCAUCACUGCCACCAGGUUACCUCCACCUUCCCACGCAUGCAUCGUCAACAUCACCUCCUCCUCCUCCACCGUCAUGCGGGUCCAUCACCGUGCCACUGCCAUCCGCCACUACAGCCCCAUCACCAGCUCUCUUGCCCUGCGAAGCACUUCUGUUUCUCUGUAACAAGUCAUCUCAUGUGUCGUGGCUUGAAUCAACCACCCUUUCAUCUGCUCUUUUCAAGUGUGUGGAUAUCGGGCUGGCUCAGUGGGCCAGUCCUCUGCUAGCUGCCCCAGCCUCAUUAUGUGGCAGCCAUCAGCUGCUGGAGGGGCAGGGUGACCUAAGAAGGUGGAACUUAUGGGUGUUGUGGAGCAGGCUGCUUGCCAGGCACUGUGGCUGUCCUUCAUGUGACCUCUCUGGAAGGCUAACUGGGACAUUGAGCUGGCAUCAGUCUUCCAGGAGAGUGAGGACUAAAGCUGCUGAGAGUUUUGACAUCUGGGAUUUCCAAACAUGCCAUGUUGGUUUGCCACAUUUUGUUGGUCAAAGCACAUCACAAGGCCAACCAGGAUUCAGGGGAUGGAGAAAUAGACUCUAGCUCUGGAUGGGGAGAGCUGCAAAGACUUUGGGACCAUUUCCCUUCACCUCCCUCUGUCCCACUGUGUGUGCUCUGAGCAGGGACUCACCACUCAGGGUCCCAGGAGGCAGA
ensembl:lncRNA